rnacentral:misc_RNA from 1 species
AGUAAACAGAACCUGCCUUUCAUGACUGCUUGAUUCCUUAUUUGAUCUACGGUAUCACUUGUUUGAAUGCAUUAGAGCAUAGGCAGAGCCAAGAUUAGGAGUUUUAGUGUGGCAAGCAUUUCCGCGGCUCCUUUUGUUAGGGGUUAACAAGUUAAUAUACACAAUUCCUAUACAAAUACAAGGUGUAUAAAAAAGGUACUGGGUUCAUCCAAAUCCCCACUG